rnacentral:rRNA from 1 species
UACGGAGGGUGCAAGCGUUAUCCGGAUUCACUGGGUUUAAAGGGUGCGUAGGUGGGCAGGUAAGUCAGUGGUGAAAUCUCCGGGCUCAACCCGGAAACUGCCAUUGAUACUAUCAGUCUUGAAUAUCGUGGAGGUAAGCGGAAUAUGUCAUGUAGCGGUGAAAUGCUUAGAUAUGACAUAGAACACCAAUUGCGAAGGCAGCUCGCUAAACUAAUAUUGACGCUGAGGCACGAAAGCGUGGGGAUCAAACAGG